CGGUAAAUUGAAUGAGACGUCAUCACGUCAUGUUGCAUUAUUAUUGUAGACACAGGAACAGGGAUUUGUUAACCGAUAUGAUCUGGGGUUUAAACUACCCAACCAGGUGUCCACUUACAGGCCACAGUGUUUAAACAUAUUACAAUUCAAUAUCGCUAUUUUUCCCUUUAAAAAUUGGCAUUAUCAAUAUCUAGCUAGCUAGGCUAUUCUAGCUAGAAUGUCGGAGACCGUAAUGUUUCAGACGCAGUUGUCGUCCAUCAUGGAAGCUCUAUCCACCGCCGCCAUGGCGGAGAUAACCAAACUGGUGGACGAGUACUCCGCGUUUUUACGUGGGGAACUGUCACGGAAAAAACACGAUAACGAAAUCCUGAUGAAAAAGCUGAAAGUAGUUGAAAACCGACACCGGAAAAGGACAUCUACGAUUGAACACGGCGGGGACGGAGUUGGCGCUGUGCUGCGCGAGAGACUUUGGAACGGGGGUUCCCUACCGCUCCACACGCCCCAAACCAACAGAGAACACAAGCCCGACCCAGUCUUUACGCAGCAGGGUUGCAGCAGCGAGUGGAGUAAUGGACCCGCGGCGCGGGCGGGACUAAGGACGGACGAGACCACUGUAACAGACAAGACGGCUGAACCAGUUACCGUCAAACAAGAGAGACUGGAGGAGGACGGCCCAGGGGAAUGUGGUGCUCCAAAUGAACUGAGGAUGAAUGCUCCUGAGCGUUCCACCACUCCACUGGUCGCCCGGCAACCGCAUCCCACUGAUCAGAGCAGUUUUGAGGAGGACUGGGGGUUCCAGAGUACACCACCAGGGGGUAGAGAUGAGCUCACUGACUCUAUGGAACACAACAUAGAAGUGGAACAUAGAACUAUGGGACACCACAUAGAACAGGAACAUAGAACUAUGGGACACCACAUAGAACUGGAACAUAGAACUCUGGACCAUGACCUCAGUAGCAGCUCUCACUGCCUUGACCAGGAACAGCCUGUAGUAGUUGAGAUCUGCCUCAAGAGGGAGCCAGAGAGCCCAUGUCCAGACCUCAACCCACUACCGGGAGGAGAACCAGGCCUGGAGGUCGACCAGGGGGAUCUGGGCCAAACGUACCCCGAGUAUGCAGCACUGAACCUGGGGUACGGUGGCUACACAGACACCUCUGGUCUAUUUUUCACCUACUCGUCAGAAAACCAACUACAACAACACACUUCCUCCUUGACAACGACCACAGACGAUUACGCAUCGUUCCCGGGGAAAAACUCUGUCACCUUCAUGCCUGGUCACCAUGGAGACCAAAGAGGAAAUGGUGGGACUGUCAGAAUUCGAGCUCCCCUCAGUAAAGAGAAGGAGGGGAGGUUCGUAUGCAAACAUUGUGGGAAGGGUUUCCCCUACAUCAGCUGCCUUAAGCGGCACGCCCUCAACCACACGAGAGAGAGGACGCAUCACUGCUCCAUGUGUGGGCGGAGCUUCAUCAGACCCAGUCACCUGAGGAGGCAUGAACUGCUGCACACGGGGGUCCGACCCUUCGCCUGCGCACUAUGUGGACGCCACUUCUCGCAUGGCGCACACCUCCGAGCUCACAUGAAGACACACACGUGAUGGAAGUGCCCUGUGUGUGUGUGUGUGUGUGUGUGUGUGUGUGUGUGUGUGUGUGUGUGUGUGUGUGUGCGUGCGUGCGUGCGUGCGUGCGUGAUGUAAUUGACUUGUUUUACAUAUGAUGUAAAGUUUUAUGUGGAAAGACUUGAACCAGUUUUAAAAAGGCGAUUCCACGUCAAUUCAAGAGUUCAAUACAUACAGUAGACAUCUGUUCUGUGGAUUGGCCUUUAUUGUAGCCUGCUGUGUUGCUAGGCAGUUUCUGAGUAAAAUGCUGAUGGUUGAGAUAGCUGCUUUCAUUGGUCAAGUUACUUUUUAAUUCCAGAAGAUGUAUUUUAUUAUUGCUGUCAAAUCAUAUUCCAAGUUUGUAUUUCCAUUUUACAAUUAAUGACAUUAUCAUCAGAAAUCCCACACAGCUGUGAGUAGCUAGGCCUACUUUUAGAGUAUAUAUUUAAGCAAUAAGGGCCGAGGGGGUGUGGUAUAUGGCCAAGGCUAAGGGCUGUUCUUAGGCACAACACGGAGUGUCUGGACACAGCCCCUAGCCGUGGUAUAUUGGCCAUAUACCACAAACCCCCGAGGUGCCUUAUUGCUAUUAUAAACUGGUUACAAGUGUAAUUAGAACUGGAAAAAUGCAUGUUUUGUCAUACCCCUGGUAUAUGUCUAAUAUUUUCAGCCAAUUAGCACUCAGGGCUCUACCACCCAGUUGAUAAUUAGAUAUAAGCAACUGGAGACAAUUCACCACCAUAUUUUGGUCCAUGGACAUGGUUCCAACAUGGCCAUUUAGCCAAGUCCCCAAUGCCUGGCCAACGCUUGCGUCGCGUGCACCAUGAAGCGCAGGUGGAAAGACAGACAGCGAAUGGACAGGGACAUCGCGGCGCCUGCGCGUAAUGACGAUAUUCUGUUUAGAGUUCUACCACAAAUCAACAAGAGGAUCGACAUUAAACUAAGUGGGAUCAUUAAACAAGGGGGAAGAUGAACAAUCGCCUCUCUCAAAGCAAAUGACAGGAUCAUUUAUGAAAUGGCAACAAAGGAAUGAACAAAAGUCAUGAGUUACACACUGAAGAAAAGAGAGGGAAAUAAACACAAAGUGGAACAAAGUGGGCCGAAAGGAGAGGAAGUGAGAAAGAAAGAGGAAGAGAAACACAUCUACAGACAGAGGGGUUAUUAGAGCAACUGUUCAUCAGUUUACACUGCAGGUUGAGAAACGUCACACUCCUCGUGGGUUUAACCACUAGGCGUACUAUUAUGACAACUCGUGUUAGUGUGCUAUGAUCUCAAAUUCUACUAUGGCCACCACUACCACUUCAAGGAUGAGUUGUUUGAAACGUGUCAUAAAACGUGUCAUCUGU